GAGCCCGUAGGUGGGUUUGUAAGUCAGAUGUGAAAGCCUUCUGUUCAACGGAAGAAUUGCAUCUGAAACUACAAACCUUGAGUAUAGGAGGGGAGAAUGGAACUUCUGGUGGAGCGGUGAAAUGCGUAGAUAUCAGAAGGAACGCCGGCGGCGAAAGCGAUUCUCUGGCCUAUUACUGACACUCAGUGUGCGAAAGCUAGGGGAGCAAACGGGAUUAGAUACCCCGGUAGUCCUAGCCGUAAACGAUGGGCACUAAGUAGAGGGAAUUACCGAUGUUCUCUCUGCCGUAGCUAACGCAUUAAGUGCCCCGCCUGGGGAGUACGGCCGCAAGGCUAAAACUCAAAAGAAUUGACGGGGGCUCGCACAAGCGGUGGAGCAUGUGGCUUAAUUCGAUGCAACGCGAAAAACCUUACCGGGGCUUGACAUGGUAGAAGUAGGAACCCGAAAGGGUAACGAACGGUAUCCAGUCCGUAGCUAUCACAGGUGUUGCAUGGCUGUCGUCAGCUCGUGUCGUGAGACGUUGGGUUAAGUCCCCUAACGAGCGAAACCCUUGUUUUUAGUUACCAGCGGAUUGUGCCGGGUACUCUAGAAAGACUGCCGUCGUCAAGACGGAGGAAGGUGGGGAUGACGUCAAGUCAUCAUGGCCCUUAUGCCCCGGGCUGCACACGCGCUACAAUGGUCGGUACAAACGGAAGCGAAGCCGAGAGGUGAAGCGAAUCC
rnacentral:rRNA from 1 species